rnacentral:rRNA from 1 species
UACGAAGGGGGCUAGCGUUGUUCGGAAUUACUGGGCGUAAAGCGCGCGCAGGCGGUCCUUUAAGUCAGGGGUGAAAGCCCAGAGCUCAACUCUGGAACUGCCUUUGAAACUAGAGGACUUGGGUACGGGAGAGGUGAGUGGAAUUCCGAGUGUAGAGGUGAAAUUCGUAGAUAUUCGGAAGAACACCGGUGGCGAAGGCGGGUCUCUGGGCCGAUACUGACGCUGAGGAGCGAAAGCGUGGGGAGCGAACAGG